GAUGAACGCUGGCGGCGUGCCUAAUACAUGCAAGUCGAGCGAACGGACCUGAAUCCUGUUUCUCUUAUGUUAGCGGCGGACGGGGGAGUAACACGUGGAAAACUAACCUAUAAGACUGGGAUUACUUCUGGAAACGGGAGCUAAUAUCGGCUAACCUUUUGAACCGCAUGGUUCAAUAGUUCAAGACGGUCUUGCUGUCACUUAUAGAUGGACCCGCGCUGCAUUAUCUAGUUGGUUAGGUAACGGCUUACCAAGACGACGAGGGAUAGCCGACGUGUGAGGGUGAUCGGCCACACGGAAACUGGGACACGGAACAGACUCCGACGGGUGACAGCUGCAGGGAAGCGUGCGAAAUGAGCGAAAGCCUGACGAAGCAACGCCGCGUGAGCGAUGAAGGUGAUCGGAUCGGAAAACUAUAUUAUUAGGGAAUAACAUAUAGGUAAGUGACUGGGCACAUCGUGACGGUAACUGAUCAAAAAGCCACGGCUAACUACGUG
rnacentral:rRNA from 1 species